AAAAGUAUUUGUACAGCAGGUACGUGUGUGCAUUUACAAUUAAAGAGUUCUUAUUUUUCUGUCCUCAGUUUGCUUUCAGGUUACGUCCUUUGCUGUUGAUAUACAGUAUGUCAGAUUGAUAUUGUGGGCAAUCAGAACAGUCCUGCUAUGACUCCAGUCCUCAACUACUAUGGUUUGUGGAACCAAGCAGCAACAGAUUAUUUAAACAGUGUGCUGCAGAUACUGUUCAUGACCAAGGUGUUCAGAGAGACCAUGAAAAGACUCACUGUUCCAAAUCCUGACAGUAGACGUCUUGAUCACCAUCUUACAAACUUGUUUAAAGACUUAGAGAAACACACAGCAGGCACCAAAGAAUCACAAAGGAGCUGGGCAUCAGGAACGUGUGUGAACAACAAGAUGCUGCUGAAUACCUGGAGAAGAUUUUAAAUAACACCAAUCCUGAAGCUUCACAGAUAUUUCAAGGACAGUUGACACACAGUAACACAUGCUCUAUGUGUAAAACAAAGACAAACAGCGAUGGUCCAUUCUGGUAUUUGCCUCUUGCACUGGUUGGUUCUCCCAGUGAGAACUACA